CCAAGGAAUCUCAGGCUAUCUUCUUUGAAGAUGGAGAUGGGAGAUGGGAACAAAUGAGACCACAAGAAAGAGAAGGGGGGCGCAUUCUAACAUUCCAUGUCUGUGAACGCACCAAGCACUUUACAGACGUCGUUUCACGUAAUCCUCCCCAGAUCUUGCAAUGGGAGGCAUAUUCCCAUCUUACAGCUGAGGAAGCAGCGGCUGAGAGAGGCAGAUAAGAAUGAAGCGAACAACAGUAGUAUCACUGCCAACACCGCCAUGUGAUUUCGAGGAAGUGCUUUCA